rnacentral:rRNA from 1 species
UACGGAGGAUCCAAGCGUUAUCCGGAUUUAUUGGGCGUAAAGGGUGCGUAGGCGGUCCUACAAGUCAGAGGUGAAAGGCUACGGCUCAACCGUAGUAAGCCUUUGAAACUGUAGGACUUGAGUGCAGGAGAGGAGAGUGGAAUUCCCAGUGUAGCGGUGAAAUGCGUAGAUAUUGGGAGGAACACCAGUUGCGAAGGCGGCUCUCUGGACUGUAACUGACGCUGAGGCACGAAAGCGUGGGGAGCGAACAGG